CACCUUGCUCGAUAAUCAUUUCAUCCAUUUUCUUCCCAUUUUAGGGGAUCCCAAACGCUCUUUUGAAAAGAGGUUCGACGCUUCUGAUUUUUUUUAUUUUUUUUAUUUUUUUAUUUUUUUAUUUUUUUUUGAGAUAGAAUCUUGUGAUUUGGGAGCCCCUCACAUCCUGUCCCCAGAACCUAUUACCUAUAUUGGACCUUAUACCCAAGCCCACCCUAUUGUAGGCCUACUUGAUCAAACUCCUUGCAACUUACUUGUGGACCUUUCUAACUAUAAUAUGCAAGAUCUUAAGGAUGUUUGAAGCCCGUUAGGCAUAAGCCCACCUAACCUUCCGUCAUCAACAUAUAUUUAAGCAGGAGAAAAAGGCUAGCUUCCAAAUCCAAACCAAUUCUCAGCAACUCACCCCUUGACUCACCUUCUUCAAACUAUCCCCCCUCUAAUCUCUCUUCUCCUUCUUUCUCAUCUUUUGUCUUUGAUGAUGAAGUUGAUAAUACCAGUCAUUUGUAUUCUGAAUCAAAUAAGGAAUUCUUUGAUGUCUCUAUGGAUGCUAAUAUCACUUGGAAUCUAGUUUGAAAAAUUGGUUUGGGUUAUGAAGGUCCUCAAAGUGAUAUGGUGGCUACCCUUAUUGAGUUGGGCAAGUUAAGCACUUUCUCUACUAUAAUUGGUUUUGGGCUUCUUUCUCUUUGUUUAUAUGAUGCCUCUACCUCAAAUUUUAUCACUAAAUGUUAGAGGAUUGCGAAGGAAAGGAAAAGCAAGAGGCGAUUAGGAGCUUGGUGAUUUCUGAAAAGGAUCAACGGGUGGUAUUCUAACUUUAUGGAGCUUAAAUUCUCAAACAAUCUCUAGUGAUGGUUUUCUUCGUGUAUCAGGCAAGUUCCCUCAUCUCUCUAAUGAUGUUCACUUGAUUAAUAUUUAUGCACCUUGUGAUGUCAACUUAAGGAAGUAGUUGUGGCCUUCUCCACUCCCUAAUCUCAAAUUUGAAUGGCGUAAUUUGUAUGGGAGGGGAUUUUAAUAUUAUUUAUAGUAUUGAGGAAAGAAAGGGUUGCUGGGAAGAUCCAGCCAGUAUAAAUGACUUUAGUCAGUUAUCUCUUCUUGUAGUCUCAUUGAUCACCCUCUUAUUGGCUGAAAAUACACUUGGAUUAACUCCAGUAGGUAAAAAAAGAGUCUCUUAGAUAGAUUUCUUCUCAGCAACAAUUAGUUUGCCAAUUAGCCAAAUUCUAAUUGUAAAGGACUGAAAAGACUCUGCUCCAAUCAGUGCCCAAAUCUCCUUUGUUCAGACACAGUGCAUUAGGGCCCCAGACUCUUUCGUUUUUCAUUUUUUGGUGCAAUCACCUAGAUUUUCUAUGUCUGGUUUCAAAUUCUUUAAGAGAUUCUAACAUUUUAGGCUAGGGAGGCUUUAUUUUUCUCUCUAAAUUAAAGCUUUUGAAGGUAAGAUUAAAGGAAUGGAACCAAUCUUCAUUUGGCAAUGUUCACACAGACUUGUCAAGGAUUCAAAGUAAUCUGGCAGACCUUAACCUUAAAGUUGAAUCUUGGUUUCUUUCUGAAUAUGAGAUAUUAGAGAGAAGAUAAUUAACCUUGAAGCUUUAUUAAUUACAGAGGCCUCAAGAGAGCAUUUUAAGAAAAAAAAAAAAGAUGGAGACGCCAACAUAAAGUUCUCUCAUGCAUCCAUCAAUAAAAGGAUCUCUAGGAAUUAUACUCAUGCCUUCUCAGUUUAUGGUGAUUGGAUUCAUGAGGUGGGCCAAGUCCAUGAAGCAGCAAAGAAUUUUUUUCACAAAUAUUUUUUCAACACCUUCUAUGCCUCGACCUUCCUUGGUUUGCGAUCCACCUAAUAAACUCUCAUCAUCACGGAUUUUCUUGAAGCUGAGUUUUCUAGGAGUGAAGUCAAAGCGACACUUGGGAGCUGUGACUCCUCUAAAGCUCCGGGACCAGAUGGUUACAUUAUGGAAUUUUACAGAAAGUGCUGGGAUAUUAUUAAAGUAGACUUAUUGCAUUUUUUAAAUGAUUUUCAUAAACAUAGAAGACUUUGCAGGGGCACACUCAAGCUUUCUAGCUUUAAUCCCGAAGGUCAUUUCCCCUUAAUGCUUGAAGGAUUUCAGACCCAUAUCCUUAAUAGUCAGCUUAUAUAACUUGCUUGUCAAAGUAUUGGCUUUAAGACUCAAGAAAGUUAUGAGUUCCAUCAUUGGAGAAAAUCAGUCAGCUUUCAUAGAAUGGAGGCAAAUAACGGAUGGAAUUCUCAUUUGCAAUGAAUUAAUUCAUAAACUUAAAAGGAGUAAACAAAAUGGGAUUCUCUUCAAAGGCUUAAGAAGGCCUUUGACACUAUUGAUAGGAACUUCAUGUUGUCAAUGUUAGAAAAAUUGGCGUUUGGCUCAAAAUGGAGGUCUUGGAUUCAAGAAUGCCUUAGAAGCUCCAAGCUAUCAAUCCUUAUCAAUGGAUCUCCAACUUCAGGAUUUCAAAUGUUCCGCAAACUGAAUCAAGGAGAUCCCAUGUCUCCGUUUUUAUUUCUAAUUGUCGUAGAAGGACUAAACAUCCUGCUUUGAAAUUCAAUUUGAAAAGGCUUCAUAUCCGAGGUAAAGAUUGGCUCUGACCAAGUAAUAGUUUCCCA